rnacentral:rRNA from 1 species
CUCAGACGAUGCGUCAUGCAUAUCAAUAAGCGGAGGAAAAGAAACUAACAAGGAUUCCCCUAGUAACGGCGAGUGAAGCGGGAAGAGCUCAAAUUUGAAAUCUUAAAGGGUUUCCCUUUACGAAUUGUAGUUUAAAGAAGUGUUUUCUGUUGAGGUUUUGGUAAAAGUUCUUUGGAAUAGGACAUCAUAGAGGGUGAGAAUCCCGUAUUUGACCUUUACUUUCAACUUUGCGAUACACUUUCGAAGAGUCGGAUUGUUUGGGAAUGCAGUCCAAAAUGGGUGGUAAAUUUCAUCUAAAGCUAAAUAUUGGCGAGAGACCGAUAGCGAACAAGUACCGUGAGGGUAAGAUGAAAAGAACUUUGAAAAGAGAGUUAAACAGUACGUGAAAUUGUCAAAAGGGAAGCGUUUGACACCAGUGUUGUUUUUCUGAAAAUCAAUUAAAGAACUGUUUAUGCUAAGCUGUUUAGACUUUAUCAGCUAUCUGUUUAGUUUUGAGCUUUUCUUUAAUGCACUUUUCAGUUAACAAGUCAACAUCAAUUUCUUUUGCUGUAAAAAAGCUUGAGGAAGGUGGCUUGAGAUUCGUCUUAAGUGUUUAUAGCCUCUUGCCUAUGCAGUCGGAGAGAUUGAGGUCUGCAGCGUAGAUCCUUCGGGGCUAAAUGCAUUUGUGCUAAGUUAUAGCAUUUUAUAGACAACUUGUUGACUAUGAUUUGUCUUGUAGCUUACUCGCUUAUGUUAUUUUACCUACGCUUAGGAUGUUGACACACGCGCGUGCUCG